ensembl:piRNA 21ur-7960 ncRNA
UGCAUUGUCUUGCUGAAAUAU